UUAACACAUGCAAGUCGAACGAUGAAACGGAACGGAAAUUUUCGGAUGGAAGUUCUGUGGAUUAGUGGCGGACGGGUGAGUAAUGCAUGAAGAACCUGCCUUUCACAUAGGAAUAGCCUCGGGAAACCGGGAUUAAUACCAAAUGACACUCCGAGAUCGCAUGUUUUUGGGGUUAAAGAUUUUAUCGGUGAAAGAUGGCUUCAUGUCCCAUUAGCUGGUUGGUGAGGUAACGGCUCACCAAGGCGACGAUGGGUAGCCGGCCUGAGAGGGUGAACGGCCACAUUGGAACUGAGACACGGUCCAAACUCCUACGGGAGGCAGCAGUGGGGAAUAUUGCACAAUGGAGGAAACUCUGAUGCAGCGACGCCGCGUGAGCGAUGAAGGUCUUCGGAUCGUAAAGCUCUGUCCUAAGGGACGAUAAGGACGNACCUAGGAGAG
rnacentral:rRNA from 1 species